GUCUGGUUGGUGUAGUUGGUAUCACGCUAGUCUCAAAAACUAGUGAUUCCCGAUUCGAGCCCGGGAUUAGACA
rnacentral:tRNA from 1 species